rnacentral:tRNA from 1 species
AUGAUUAGCUCAGCUGGUUAGAGCGCUGCGUUCACAUCGCAGAGGUCGUGGGUUCGAGUCCCUCAUCCUCC